GAUGAACGCUGGCGGCGUGCCUAAUACAUGCAAGUCGAGCGAACAGACGAGGAGCUUGCUCCUCUGACGUUAGCGGCGGACGGGUGAGUAACACGUGGAUAACCUACCUAUAAGACUGGGAUAACUUCGGGAAACCGGAGCUAAUACCGGAUAACAUGCUGAACCGCAUGGUUCAACAGUGAAAGACGGUCUUGCUGUCACUUAUAGAUGGAUCCGCGCCGCAUUAGCUAGUUGGUAAGGUAACGGCUUACCAAGGCAACGAUGCGUAGCCGACCUGAGAGAGGGAUAGGCCACACUGGAACUGAGACAGGGACAAGACUCCUAAGGGAGGCAGCAGUAGGGAAUCUUCCGCAGUGGGCGAAAGCCUGACGGAGCAACGGCGCGUGAGUGAAGAAGGUCUUCGGAGCGUAAAACUCUGUUAUUAGGGAAGAACAAAUGUGUAAGUAACUAUGCACGUCUUGACGGUACCUAAUCAGAAAGCCACGGCUAACUACGUG
rnacentral:rRNA from 1 species